UACGGAGGGUGCGAGCGUUGUCCGGAAUCACUGGGCGUAAAGGGCGCGUAGGCGGCCUGGUAAGUAGGGGGUGAAAUCCUGCGGCUUAACCGCAGGGCUGCCUUCUAAACUGUCAGGCUCGAGCACGGUAGAGGCAGAUGGAAUUCCCGGUGUAGCGGUGGAAUGCGUAGAGAUCGGGAAGAACAUCAGUGGCGAAGGCGGUCUGCUGGGCCGUUGCUGACGCUGAGGCGCGAAAGCGUGGGGAGCAAACGGG
rnacentral:rRNA from 1 species